rnacentral:rRNA from 1 species
GAGAUUUGAUCCUGGCUCAGGACGAACGCUGGCGGCGUGCUUAACACAUGCAAGUCGAACGAUGAAGCCCUUCGGGGUGGAUUAGUGGCGAACGGGUGAGUAACACGUGGGCAAUCUGCCCUUCACUCUGGGACAAGCCCUGGAAACGGGGUCUAAUACCGGAUAACACCGGCUUCCGCAUGGAGGCUGGUUAAAAGCUCCGGCGGUGAAGGAUGAGCCCGCGGCCUAUCAGCUUGUUGGUGGGGUAAUGGCCUACCAAGGCGACGACGGGUAGCCGGCCUGAGAGGGCGACCGGCCACACUGGGACUGAGACACGGCCCAGACUCCUACGGGAGGCAGCAGUGGGGAAUAUUGCACAAUGGGCGAAAGCCUGAUGCAGCGACGCCGCGUGAGGGAUGACGGCCUUCGGGUUGUAAACCUCUUUCAGCAGGGAAGAACGAAAGUGACGGUACCUGCAGAA